ensembl:misc_RNA Y_RNA Y RNA
GGCUGGUCCGAGUACAAUGGUGUUUACAAUUAAUUAAUCACAACCAGCUACAGAUUUCUUUGUUCCUUCUUUUCUCUCAGUGCUUUACUUGACUAGCCUUAA